rnacentral:rRNA from 1 species
UACAGAGGUCUCAAGCGUUGUUCGGAUUCAUUGGGCGUAAAGGGUGCGUAGGCGGGUUCUUAAGUCAGAGGUGAAAUCCUGGAGCUCAACUCCAGAACUGCCUUUGAUACUGAGAGUCUUGAGUUCGGGAGAGGUGAGUGGAACUGCGAGUGUAGAGGUGAAAUUCGUAGAUAUUCGCAAGAACACCAGUGGCGAAGGCGGCUCACUGGCCCGGUACUGACGCUGAGGUGCGAAAGCGUGGGGAGCAAACAGG